rnacentral:tRNA from 1 species
UCCCCGGUAGCUCAGUUGGUAGAGCGGUUGACUGUUAAUCAAUUUGUCGCUGGUUCGAGUCCGGCCCGGGGAGCCA